rnacentral:rRNA from 1 species
CCUACGGGUGGCAGCAGUGAGGAAUAUUGGUCAAUGGCCGAGAGGCUGAACCAGCCAAGUAGCGUGAAGGAUGACUGCCCUACGGGUUGUAAACUUCUUUUAUCAAGGAGUAAAGUGAGGCACGUGUGCCUUUUUGUAUGUACUUUAUGAAUAAGGAUCGGCUAACUCCGUGCCAGCAGCCGCGGUAAUACGGAGGAUCCGAGCGUUAUCCGGAUUUAUUGGGUUUAAAGGGUGCGUAGGUGGGUUGUUAAGUCAGUUGUGAAAAUUUGCGGCUCAACCGGAAAAUUGCAGUUGAUACUGGCAGUCUUGAGUGGAAGAGAAGUAUGCGGAAUGCGUGGUGUAGCGGUGAAAUGCAUAGAUAUCACGCAGAACCCCGAUUGCGAAGGCAGCAUGCCGGCUUCCGACUGACGCUGAAGCACGAAAGCGUGGGGAUCGAACAGGAUUAGAUACCCGAGUAGUC